GACAGAGGAGCCAAGCGUUGUCCGGAUUGACUGGGCGUAAAGCGCACGCAGGCGGCCCGGCGCGUGGGGUGUGAAAGCUGGCGGCUUAACUGCCAGACGCCAUCCCAUACGGCUGGGCUCGAGCCCUGCAGAGGUCCAUGGAAUUGCCGGUGUAGUGGUGAAAUGCGUAGAGAUCGGCAGGAACACCCAGGGGGAAACCAGUGGACUGGGCAGGAGCUGGACGCUCAGGGUGCGAAAGCGUGGGGAGCGGAACCGG
rnacentral:rRNA from 1 species